rnacentral:rRNA from 1 species
UUUUACAAUGAAGAGUUUGAUCCUGGCUCAGGAUGAACGCUAGCGGCAGGCCUUAUACAUGCAAGUCGAACGGUAACAUUGGUGCUUGCACCAGAUGACGAGUGGCGGACGGGUGCGUAACGCGUAUGCAACCUACCUUUUACUAGAGAAUAGCCCAGAGAAAUUUGGAUUAAUCCUCUAUAAUAUCAUUAAAUCACAUGUUUUUUUGAUUAAAGUUUUAACGGUAAAAGAUGGGCAUGCGUCUUAUUAGUUUGUAGGUGAGGUAACGGCUCACCUAGACUACGAUAGGUAGGGGCCCUGAGAGGGGGAUCCCCCACACUGGUAC